GAGUUUGAUCCUGGCUCAGAUUGAACGCUGGCGGCAGGCCUAACACAUGCAAGUCGAGCGGAUGACGGGAGCUUGCUCCUUGAUUCAGCGGCGGACGGGUGAGUAAUGCCUAGGAAUCUGCCUGGUAGUGGGGGACAACGUUUCGAAAGGAACGCUAAUACCGCAUACGUCCUACGGGAGAAAGCAGGGGACCUUCGGGCCUUGCGCUAUCAGACGAGCCUAGGUCGGAUUAGCUAGUUGGUGGGGUAAUGGCUCACCAAGGCGACGAUCCGUAACUGGUCUGAGAGGAUGAUCAGUCACACUGGAACUGAGACACGGUCCAGACUCCUACGGGAGGCAGCAGUGGGGAAUAUUGGACAAUGGGCGAAAGCCUGAUCCAGCCAUGCCGCGUGUGUGAAGAAGGUCUUCGGAUUGUAAAGCACUUUAAGUUGGGAGGAAGGGCAGUAAGUUAAUACCUUGCUGUUUUGACGUUACCGACAGAAUAAGCACCGGCUAACUCUGUGCCAGCCGCCGCCGU
rnacentral:rRNA from 2 species